AAGGUGGUGAUGAAAUUGGUAAACAUAAAUAGUUUAGGCCUAUUGGACAUUGUCCUGCCUGUUCAAGUCAGGCUCACCUUA
rnacentral:tRNA from 1 species